AGAACAGAGCCAGAACAGAGAACA
rnacentral:piRNA from 1 species